GACGAACGCUGGCGGCGUGCUUAACACAUGCAAGUCGAACGGAAAGGCCCUGCUUUUGUGGGGUGCUCGAGUGGCGAAAGGGUGAGUAACACGGGAGUAACCUGCCCUUGACUUUGUGAUAACUUCAGGAAACUGGGGCUAAUACCGGAUAGGAGCUCCUGCUGCAUGGUGGGGGUUGGAAAGUUUCGGCGGUUGGGGAUGGACUCGCGGCUUAUCAGCUUGUUGGUGGGGUAGUGGCUUACCAAGGCUUUGACGGGUAGCCGGCCUGAGAGGGUGACCGGCCACAUUGGGACUGAGAUACGGCCCAGACUCCUACGGGAGGCAGCAGUGGGGAAUAUUGCACAAUGGGCGGAAGCCUGAUGCAGCAACGCCGCGUGCGGGAUGACGGCCUUCGGGUUGUAAACCGCUUUCGCCUGUGACGAAGCGUGAGUGACGGUAAUGGGUAAAGAAGCACCGGCUAACUACGUG
rnacentral:rRNA from 1 species